UUCUGGGAAGCAUUGAUCUAGAGCCGCCGGAGGCGGGGGAGGAGGCCACUUCCGGCCCCCGGUGGGCGAGGUUGUGGCCAAUUUUCUCCUCCUGCUGGUUGUCAGUUGGGCAUCCCGCAACAUAUGGAACUUUUUUUUUUUUUUUUUUUUUUUUUUAUUUAUGAUAGUCACAGAGAGAGAAAGAGAGAGAGGCAGAGAGGCAGAGACACAGGCAGAGGGAGAAGCAAGCUCCAUGCACCGGAAGCCCGAUGUGGGAUUCGAUCCCGGGUCUCCAGGAUCGCGCCCUGGGCCAAAGGCAGGCGCCAAACUGCUGCGCCACCCAGGGAUCCCCAUAUGGAACUUUCGAGACCUGCCCUUGAGGCGGCAACAACUCAGUAAUCGCCCUGCUUUCUCAAGGACUGUGUGGAAGUGGAGGCGGUGACCCCGUGGCUCCUGGCAGCAGGGCCCCAAGUAGCCUCCAUGCCCAGUGUGGAGCCUGACAAAUGAUAGUCUCUCAAAGGUUAUUGGAUUGUAGAUCUGAAACCAUAUCAGUGUACUUUUUGUAUUCUGUUACAUUAAAAUCCUUUGGUCUGUCUUGUGCUUUGAGUGUUUUAUACAUUUGUGAUUCUGUGACAUUAUGCAUUGCUUAUUUAGGAAAUAUUAAAUGGCUGCAUUUUGCAGAUCUUUCAAAUAUUGACACAUUUGGCUUUACAAUAUUUUUAAAAAUUAUAGUCAUCAAUAUCAUCACUCAUAUCAUCAGAAAAAUUUUGUUUCUAAUGACCUCAAGUCUUUAAAUAUCUGGAACCUGUCAAUCUCUCAAUAACGCAAAUUUUUCAAAGUUCUGUUAUUUGCUUUACAACAUAAAUUUUGUCAUUGGCAGCAAAAGCUAUCAGCAGUUUUCCUUGAAGUGACAAGCUCCUUUUGCUCAUUUCCAAAAGUUCUGCCAAAUAUCUAGGUCUGAGCAACUGUAGUUUGUCAGUUUUUUCAAGAGAGGGCUGUCCUAUGAGAA